AUACGUAGGGGGCGAGCGUUGUCCGGAAUGAUUGGGCGUAAAGGGCGCGUAGGCGGCCCGGUAAGUCUGGAGUGAAAGUCCUGUUUUUAAGAUGGGAAUUGCUUUGGAUACUGUCGGGCUUGAGUGCAGGAGAGGUAAGUGGAAUUCCCAGUGUAGCGGUGAAAUGCAUAGAGAUCACACAGAACACCGAUUGCGAAGGCAUCUCACGAACGGAUGAUUAACGCUGAGGCACGAAAGCGUGGGGAUCAAACAGGAUUAGAUACCCUGGUAGUCCACGCAGUAAACGAUGAUAACUAACCGCUGGUGCGCAAGUAUCAGUGGCCAAGCGAAAGCGAUAAGUUAUCCACCUGGGGAGUACGACCGCAAGGUUGAAACUCAAAUGAAUUGGCGGGG
rnacentral:rRNA from 1 species